rnacentral:rRNA from 1 species
GACGAACGCUGGCGGCGUGCUUAACACUUGCAAGUCGAACGGAAAGGCCCUGCUUUUGUGGGGUGCUCGAGUGGCGAACGGGUGAGUAACACGUGAGUAACCUGCCCUUGACUUUGGGAUAACUUCAGGAAACUGGGGCUAAUACCGGAUAGGAGCUCCUGCUGCAUGGUGGGGGUUGGAAAGUUUCGGCGGUUGGGGAUGGACUCGCGGCUUAUCAGCUUGUUGGUGGGGUAGUGGCUUACCAAGGCUUUGACGGGUAGCCGGCCUGAGAGGGUGACCGGCCACAUUGGGAUUGAGAUACGGCCCAGACUCCUACGGGAGGCAGCAGUGGGGAAUAUUGCACAAUGGGCGGAAGCCUGAUGCACCAACGCCGCGUGCGGGAUGACGGCCUUCGGGUUGUAAACCGCUUUCGCCUGUGACGAAGCGUGAGUGACGGUAAUGGGUAAAGAAGCACCGGCUAACUACGUG